rnacentral:rRNA from 1 species
UACGAAGGGGGCUAGCGUUGUUCGGAAUCACUGGGCGUAAAGCGCACGUAGGCGGACUUUUUAAGUCAGGGGGUGAAAAUCCCCGGGGGCUCAACCCCCGGAACUGCCUUUUGAUACUGGAAGUCUUGAGUCCGAGAGAGGUGAGUGGAACUCCGAGUGUAGAGGUGAAAUUCGUAGAUAUUCGGAAGAACACCAGUGGCGAAGGCGGCUCACUGGCUCGGUACUGACGCUGAGGUGCGAAAAGCGUGGGGGAGCAAAACAGGAUUAGAUACCCCGCGUAGUCC